rnacentral:rRNA from 1 species
GAAGUCGUCCUUUGUACGAGAGGAUCAGGAUGAACGAACCUCUGGUCUAUCGGCUGUCACGCCCGUGGCACUGCCGAGUUGCUAUGUUCGGAAGGGAUAACCGCUGAAAGCAUCUAAGCGGGAAGCCCCUCCCAAGAUUAGGUAUCUCGCCCUCCCAA